GUAUUCUAUUCCGUAGAAUUAUCAAGACAUGCAUUAGAGACAGGCUGUAAUAGAUAGAUAGAGUGCACAAGGUGUGUGUGUAUGGAGGGUGUGCUACUUUGAGCGACAACCCACUGUAAUGAUCCUUCUGCAGGUUCACCUACAGAAA
rnacentral:misc_RNA from 1 species